AUCUAUGACCAUGCUACCCUGAACAAGCCUGAUCUCAUCUGAUCUCAGAAGCUAAGCAGGAUCAGGCCUGGUUAGUAUUUGGAUGGGAGACCACCCAGGAAGACCAGGUGUUUUAGGCA
rnacentral:rRNA from 1 species